rnacentral:rRNA from 1 species
CCUACGGGGUGCUGCAGUGGGGGAUAUUGCACAAUGGGGGAAACCCUGAUGCAGCGACGCCGCGUGUGGGAAGACGGUCCUCUGGUUUGUAAACCACUGUCCCCAGGGACGAAGAUGACGGUACCUGGGGAUGAAGCUCCGGCUAACUACGUACCAGCAGCCGCGGUAAUACGUAGGGAGCAAUCGUUGUCCGGAAUUACUGGGUGAAAAGGGAGCGUAGGCGGGAUGGCAAGUUGUGUGUUAAAUCUACCGGCUAAACUGGUAGUCGCACUCAAAACUGCUAUUCUUGAGUGAAGUAGAGGCAGGCGGAAUUCCUAGUGUAGCGGUGAAAUGCGUAGAUAUUAGGAGGAACACCAGUGGCGAAGGCGGCCUGCUGGGCUUUUACUGACGCUGAGGCUCGAAAGUGUGGGGAGCAAACAGGAUUAGAUACCCCUGUAGUC